rnacentral:rRNA from 1 species
GACGAACGCUGGCGGCGUGCUUAACACAUGCAAGUCGAACGGAAAGGCCCUGCUUUUGUGGGGUGCUCGAGUGGCGAACGGGUGAGUAACACGUGAGUAACCUGCCCUUGACUUUGGGAUAACUUCAGGAAACUGGGACUAAUACCGGAUAGGAGCUCCUGCUGCAUGGUGGUGGUUGGAAAGUUUCGGCGGUUGGGGAUGGACUCGCGGCUUAUCAGCUUGUUGGUGGGGUAGUGGCUUACCAAGGCUUUGACGGGUAGCCGGCCUGAGAGGGUGACCGGCCACAUUGGGACUGAGAUACGGCCCAGACUCCUACGGGAGGCAGCAGUGGGGAAUAUUGCACAAUGGGCGGAAGCCUGAUGCAGCAACGCCGCGUGCGGGAUGACGGCCUUCGGGUUGUAAACCGCUUUCGCCUGUGACGAAGCGUGAGUGACGGUAAUGGGUAAAGAAGCACCGGCUAACUACGUG